UUGUGUUCCAAAUGAUUUAUCGCCAUAGGAUGGGACUGCGGCCUAUCAGUUUGUUGGUGAGGUAAUGGCCCACCAAGACUAUUACAGGUACGGGCUCUGAGAGGAGUAGCCCGGAGAUGGGUACUGAGACACGGACCCAGGCCCUAUGGGGCGCAGCAGGCGAGAAAACUUUGCAAUGUGCGAAAGCACGACAAGGUUAAUCCGAGUGAUUUGUGCUAAACGAAUCUUUUGUUAGUCCUAGAAACACUAACGAAUAAGGGGUGGGCAAGUUCUGGUGUCAGCCGCCGCGGUAAAACCAGCACCUCAAGUGGUCAGGAUGAUUAUUGGGCCUAAAGCAUCCGUAGCCGGCUCUGUAAGUUUUCGGUUAAAUCUGUACGCUUAACGUACAGGCUGCCGGGAAUACUGCAGAGCUAGGGAGUGGGAGAGGUAGACGGUACUCGGUAGGAAGUGGUAAAAUGCUUUGAUCUAUCGAUGACCACCUGUGGCGAAGGCGGUCUACCAGAACACGUCCGACGGUGAGGGAUGAAAGCUGGGGGAGCAAACCGGAUUAGAUACCCGGGUAGUCCCAGCUGUAAACUA
rnacentral:rRNA from 1 species